CAGCAGCCGCGGUAAUACGUAGGGUGCGAGCGUUAAUCGGAAUUACUGGGCGUAAAGCGGGCGCAGACGGUUACUUAAGCAGGAUGUGAAAUCCCCGGGCUCAACCUGGGAACUGCGUUCUGAGCUGGGUGACUAGAGUGUGUCAGAGGGAGGUAGAAUUCCACGUGUAGCAGUGAAAUGCGUAGAGAUGUGGAGGAAUACCGAUGGCGAAGGCAGCCUCCUGGGAUAACACUGACGUUCAUGCCCGAAAGCGUGGGUAGCAAACAGGAUUAGAUACCCUGGUAGUCCACGCCCUAAACGAUGUCGAUUAGCUGUUGGGCAGCUUGACUGCUUAGUAGCGAAGCUAACGCGUGAAAUCGACCGCCUGGGGAGUACGGUCGCAAGAUUAAAACUCAAAGGAAUUGACGGGGACCCGCACAAGCGGUGGAUGAUGUGGAUUAAUUCGAUACAACGCGAAGAACCUUACCUGGUCUUGACAUGUACGGAACCCUCCAGAGACGGAGGGGUGCCUUCGGGAGCCGUAACACAGGUGCUGCAUGGCUGUCGUCAGCUCGUGUCGUGAGAUGUUGGGUUAAGUCCCGCAACGAGCGCAACCCUUGUCAUUAGUUGCCAUCAUUAAGUUGGGCACUCUAAUGAGACUGCCGGUGACAAGCCGGAGGAAGGUGGGGAUGACGUCAAGUCCUCAUGGCCCUUAUGACCAGGGCUUCACACGUCAUACAAUGGUCGGUACAGAGGGUAGCCAAGCCGCGAGGUGGAGCCAAUCUCACAAAACCGAUCGUAGUCCGGAUUGCACUCUGCAACUCGAGUGCAUGAAGUCGGAAUCGCUAGUAAUCGCAGGUCAGCAUACUGCGGUGAAUACGUUCCCGGGUCUUGUACACACCGCCCGUCACACCAUGGGAGUGGGGGAUACCAGAAGUAGGUAGGGUAACCGCAAGGAGCCCGCUUACCACGGUAUGCUUCAUGACUGGGGUGAAGUCGUAACAAGGUAGCCGU
rnacentral:rRNA from 1 species